rnacentral:rRNA from 1 species
GGGGAAUUUUGGACAAUGGGGGCAACCCUGAUCCAGCCAUCCCGCGUGUGCGAUGAAGGCCUUCGGGUUGUAAAGCACUUUUGGCAGGGAAGAAACAGCCUGGGCUAAUAUCCCGGGCGACUGCCGGUACCUGCAGAAUAAGCACCGGCUAACUACGUGCCAGCAGCCGCGGUAAUACGUAGGGUGCAAGCGUUAAUCGGAAUUACUGGGCGUAAAGCGUGCGCAGGCGGUUCGGAAAGAAAGGUGUGAAAGCCUGUCGCUUAACGAUAGAACUGCCAUUGUUACUGUAAGUCUUGAGUAUAUUUGCGGUAGCUGGAAUAAGUAGUGUUGCGGUCAAAUGCAUAGCUAUUACUUAGAACACCUAUUGCGCAGGCAGCUUACCGGGGUACACUUGACGCUGAUGCACGAAAGUGUGGGUAUCAAACA